AAUAAGCAGGCAGAUCCUUAUAUCAAGCAUAUGACUGGAGCUUUUCAGAUUUAUUUUCUGGGAUUAUCUCUUUGUCCAGAUCAAUCCUCAUCAUUUCGUUCAUCUAAGGAGGUCAUUUGGAAAAAAGCUGAUGGAAGUACGCAGACAGGAUGUCUCAAAGACAGUGAGACAAGAAAAAAGAACAUAUCCUCACUUUUAUCUCGUGCCAGAUUCAUUAGGUCAUACCUGAGAAGGACAUCAAGGCUUUGGGGAGCUUUUAUGAGACACACUGGAGCAAUCAGGAGGGAAAUCCCUCAAGCUUUUCAGCAGUUACCUGAUGUAAGGCCAAAGCACAUGUGUCGAAAUGAACAAAAAUUUCCUAUGGAUCCACAGUGUGUGAUUUAGUUGACACUGUGACCAGAAUAACUUCAUGGGGACAUAAUUCAAGGGACUGAUUGUUUUUCAGAAAUGGAGAAAUCGGACUACAUACUAAAAAUGGAGAAAUCAGACGUAUGCACUUUAAACAGGUGGGCUGGGAGCAUUAAAUUAGGGUUUUUAAUCUCCAUGGAUUAAAGCAUUCAAGGAAAACGGUCCAAUCAGAUGACAUAUGGGUGGGAAGCGCAGGGUAACAAAUAGACAAUAUGCUAGAGUGCUGCAUUACAGCGUAUUACACCUAAAGCAUAAAUGUAAUUAAACCCUAUAGAGGGUGAACCUGUGCCGAUACUUCCUUUUGGCACAUCAGAGGUCAGCACAAGGUCAGACAGCUUUCUGUGAGCACACAUUCUGAUUUCUACCAAAUCCUGGCACUUUUUUAGUGAGAGUGCAUCAUCCAUAAAGGACCUUCACUGCCAGUUGGCAAACACAAGACAAGCAAAAUGCAAAUUGUGUCACUUGGACCUUGAAAUAUGUUGAGCUGUGACUUUUCAGUCAAUGUAAUCCAAAUAUCUGUUUUAGAAAGGGUUGAAAAUU